rnacentral:rRNA from 1 species
AGAGUUUGAUCCUGGCUCAGAACGAACGCUGGCGGCAGGCCUAACACAUGCAAGUCGAGCGCGCCUUUCGGGGCGAGCGGCGGACGGGUUAGUAACGCGUGGGAAUAUACCCUUUGGUACGGAAUAGCCUCUGGAAACGGAGAGUAAUACCGUAUGAGCCCUUCGGGGGAAAGAUUUAUCGCCAAAGGAUUAGCCCGCGUUAGAUUAUGUAGUUGGUGGGGUAAUGGCCUACCAAGCCUACGAUCUAUAGCUGGUUUUAGAGGAUGAUCAGCAACACUGGGACUGAGACACGGCCCAGACUCCUACGGGAGGCAGCAGUGGGGAAUCUUGGACAAUGGGGGCAACCCUGAUCCAGCCAUGCCGCGUGAGUGAUGAAGGCCUUAGGGUCGUAAAGCUCUUUCGCCUGUGAAGAUAAUGACGGUAGCAGGUAAAGAAACCCCGGCUAACUCCGUGCCAGCAGCCGCGGUAAUACGGAGGGGGUUAGCGUUGUUCGGAAUUACUGGGCGUAAAGCGCACGUAGGCGGACUGGAAAGUUGGGGGUGAAAUCCCGGGGCUCAACCCCGGAACUGCCUCCAAAACUAUCAGUCUAG